rnacentral:rRNA from 1 species
CGAACGAACGCUGGCGGCGUGCUUAAUACAUGCAAGUCGAACGUGAAUCCCGACUUCGGUUGGGAUGAAAGUGGCGAACGGGUGAGUAACACGUAAGUAAUCUGCCUUCAAGUUUGGGAUAACCCUGCCAACGCGGGGCUAAUACCGGAUGUGGUCCAGCUGACACAUGUUGGCUGGAUUAAAGGUCGCGAGGCCGCUUGGAGAUGAGCUUGCGGCCCAUUAGUUAGUUGGUGAGGUAACGGCCCACCAAGACGAAGAUGGGUAGCCGGCCUGAGAGGGUGUACGGCCACAUUGGGACUGAGAUACGGCCCAGACUCCUACGGGAGGCAGCAGUAGGGAAUUUUGCGCAAUGGACGGAAGUCUGACGCAGCAACGCCGCGUGAAGGAUGACGGCCUUCGGGUUGUAAACUUCUGUUGGAUGGGAAAAAAAGCCUAGGAAUAGGAAUUGAUGGUACCAUUCGAGUAAGCACCGGCUAACUACGUG